CGCAGCUCAGGAGGCAGAGGCGGUGCUGUUUGGUGGGAAAACUGAGGCCAAUGGUAGACGCUUCCUGCUCCCUCGGCUCUGAGCGAGGCGGGGUCCGGGUCACUUAUUUGCUUUUCACGGCAUUGACAGCUUUUGAAUUAGCGAAUAGACUGUAAGCUCCUUUGAGCAGACUGCGUCCCAGCGCUGACCAGUUCCGGCCCCUAGUAGGUGCUCGGCACGGCGGCCCGACACCCUUGUUAGCAGUUAUUUAGCAAACUCCGGGGCCUGUCCUGGGCCGGAAGUGACUUCUGCCCAGCCCCUGCCCUCUGAGGACGAAUGGGAUGAGUGCGCGGAGAGACAGGCGGUCCGAGAAGAGCGGGGCGGCCGAGGAAACGGUCUGGUGCACCGGGGAGUCCAGGAAGGUCUCCUUGAGUGGCUCAGUUGCUUUUGUGCCCCACGCAGACGGAUUCCGGCGAGAAGGAAGGACGGAGGGUGCUCCCGGUUGAGGAAAGCGUAGUGAGGAAGACAUGGUGUGACUGCUUAAGAUCUAUGGGGAAAGAAGCCUGUCUGGCCAUGUGAAGGAAAAUCAUAAGAUUUAGUGUUCGUGGACCAAUGGGUGGGUCCAAGGAUGCUAGAUGGGAGUUGGGAUUUAUUUUCGAUGCAUCUGUGAUCCAGGGUAACAUGUAAAUUAAAAGGAAGAGACUACUGUGAGCAUUGCCUGAGGAGGUGGUGGGCGCCACUGGCUGGGGAUUAGUGAAGAUUUUAGGGAGCCAAAUCCUGACCUGGACCAGCAGAAGUCGGAGGACCCACUGAUGAUCUGGAGUUUUGACCAGAAGCUAAGACUGGCAGCUCUUGGACUAAAUUCAGUGGAUAGACAGAGCUGAUGUCUAUACUCCCUGCACCAAACUGAUGGUCAGAAUAUUGAAGUACUUCAUGCUGUGAACUUGUCGAGAGUCCGGCCUUGCAUCAUGUCUCUCUGCCCAGAACAGUGCCUGGCUCAGAAGAAGCGCUCAACUGACCAGCUGACCGAUGCUUUUCGAUCUUCUUCCUGCACGUCUUUUCUCUGAGCAAUGGCAAGAUGUUCUCUAGCUUUAUUCUGGGUAUCCUGGUAGUCCCUAGUUCAGGGCUGAACAGUCAUAUGUGUUGAGUAGAGACAGGGAAAGGGGGAGAGAGUGACUUUUAUCUGGAGCCAGGGGCUGUCACAUCCAUGUCCCAGGGGACCUCUGCCCUCUGCCUGGUCCACCCUGGCAUGGCACACCCCCCCCCUGGAUGAAGCAGACCCAGUACUGGCACACUUCUCUUUGAUAACAUUGCUCGAAGACUCACAGCACUGGGCGAGCAGAGACACAAGCUUUCAGUAAGGCUGCUGGGCCUUAAAUCAUGCCUCUGAUUGGAAGGAAGUGUCCUUGCUGGUGAAAAGCCUCAUGUUUGGCUGGAAUCUGAAGCUUCAACUACUCUAUCCAGCACACGUAUUUUUCCUGUGCUCCAUGCCAAUGGAGAUUACUGCUGAGUUUCUAAUGCUGCAGGGUGGGCGUGGCCUCCCAUAGGAUGCUGCAACUAUGCCUGAGUUAUCCAGUUGUCCUCUCAGUGACAGCUGACCACUUCCUCCCAGGGCUCCUCUGUGUAGCCUGGACCAGCCUUCUGCAUGAGACGGGUGUGCUUCCCAACUUGGCUGUUAUCCGUAAUGUCUCUCAAGGAGCCCAAAUGCCUCUCAAGAGGCUUGGGGCCACGUCUGCCACAAGGAGGCGGGCUCCUGCACUUUGUCUAAUGUUCCCAAGCUCCCACAGGGCAAUGCAAAGCUCACCUUCUAAACAACCACCACCCUGGAGUUUGGUGCCAGAGCCCAGAGCAAUCGAGUGGGAGGUCAGAUCCUUCCCCUUUGAAUAACAACUGGAAGAAUAAACUGAAAUGUCCAUCUCUUGAUGAUUUGUUUAAGAAAUUAUGCUACAUCUAUGGCUGCUUUAGAUAUAGCGUUGAAUGAAAGAAGAAUGGA